rnacentral:misc_RNA from 1 species
UUCAGAGUUUGGACACCAUACAGGUAACGUAUCUCUGUUCUGUAAUGUUGAAUACUACCUUUGGUUAAUGUAGGUCGGAAAAAAUCAUGCUGCUUCAUCAUUUAUACCAUAUAGUGAAUUGGGUGCUAACUAUUUUGUGCAGGAUAUAUUUAGAUAGUUUUCUAAAGGAUAUAGUUAGAUUAUAUAGAUGUGGAUUUCAAAUGAUGAGGUAUUCGAAUUUGAUGUCGUGUUGAAACUUUAUGGUAUUUCAUUUGAAAGUUGAAACACAAAUACUGAUUCACAUUCAUCCAAAUGGACCCUAAAUUUAUUGCUGGAGAAAAUUAAAUAAAUAUAUAUUAUUUAUUUUCUCAUUUUUCUGUUGAAGUAGAGUCCAAAAUCUAUGCAAACUAUAUGUAACAGGAGUUCUUCAAUCUACUUUUCAUAAGUUUCAAGUGUGAAUGUAACUUGGGAUUCACCAUAUUAGCUCUUAUAUUGUUUCACGACUUCAAUUUUCUUCACAUUCUCAGGGAACAAAGAAAAAGCAUUUG